CACAAAGAUCUGUACAAGGACAUCAUGAUGGAGGAUCACCGGCCCCUCACAUCACCAGUUAAGGAAGAGAGAACAUCACCUGAGAGAUGUCCCAGUCCUCUUCUUCCACAGGAUAAUUCAGAAGAACAUCACUAUGUCCUACGGGAUGAUCGGGUAGAUGGAUACAAUGGCAUCAUGAUGGAGGAUCACCGGCCCCUCAUAUCACCAGUUAAGGAAGAGAUAACAACACCGGAGAGAUGUCCCAGUCCUCUUCUUACACAGGAUGG